UACGUAGGUGGCAAGCGUUGUCCGGAAUUAUUGGGCGUAAAGCGCGCGCAGGCGGUCCUUUAAGUCUGAUGUGAAAGCCCACGGCUCAACCGUGGAGGGUCAUUGGAAACUGGGGGACUUGAGUGCAGGAGAGAAGAGUGGAAUUCCACGUGUAGCGGUGAAAUGCGUAGAGAUGUGGGGGAACACCAGUGGCGAAGGCGACUCUCUGGUCUGUAACUGACGCUGAGGCGCGAAAGCUAGGGUAGCAAACGGG
rnacentral:rRNA from 1 species